rnacentral:rRNA from 1 species
AGAGUUCGAUUAUGGCUCAGGACGAACGCUGGCGGCGUGCUUAACACAUGCAAGUUGAACGGACGAUACUAGAGUGCUUGCACUCUUAUAAAGUUAGUAGCGGACGGGUGAGUAACGCGUGAGCAACCUGCCCUGCAAUGGGGGACAACAGUUGGAAACGACUGCUAAUACCGCAUGAGACCACACUACCGCAUGGUAGAGAGGUAAAAGGAUUUAUUCGAUGCAGGAUGGGCUCGCGUCCCAUUAGAUAGUUGGUGAGGUAAAAGCUCACCAAGUCGACGAUGGGUAGCCGACCUGAGAGGGUGAUCGGCCACACUGGAACUGAGACACGGUCCAG